GAGCAAUGAGGAUAAGAAUUUCUAUCAUGAUAAACCAUGAUGCUUGUAUACGCUAUUCUGAGCUAAGG
rnacentral:snoRNA from 1 species